rnacentral:lncRNA from 1 species
GUGCAGUGGAGCAUAUUCAUUUAAUUGCACGUUUAUUAGCUCCCUUUCUUUUCUUGCAACAGAGAUAUUGUAAUUGGGUGGGUCCGUUUUUUUAAAAACAAGAGGAACAACAGAGAAAUUGCUUUGCAGGAACAACAUCAGAAAUGUAUUGGAAUAGUCAAAAGAAGAGAUAAAAGAAGAAGAUUUAAAAAAUCCUUCAUGUGACAGUUAAAUAGAAUAAAAAAUGUGUAUUGUAUAUUUAUGAAAAUGCUUCAAUCCCUUUGAGUUUGUUGGAGUUCGUACAAGUGUACUCCCACAGUGAAGCCUUCAGCCUCAAGCAUUUUAUGGGGCUCAAAGCAUGUUGUCCCAGUGACAACAAAAAUUGAAAUUUGAUGCUACUGUCUCAAAACAUUUGGGUUAUUUUUUUCAAUCCAAUUAUUUGGUUUUUCAUGUUAGUAUACAUUUUUGGCUUACUUUUUGGAACAAUAAUAUUUAUUUGGGUUGUUGUGCUUUAAUUUUAACCCAAUUUAUUUUGUUUGUUUUUCUUCUUAUACCUAGUUAAAAUAAUGCUUUCAAUACUUGGGGUUUUUUAACUAUGGAGUAUUUAGCUGGAAGUCUCAACCCAAUAUCCAACAAAUUGUAUCACUAUAUUGUUUUUUUCUUCUCAGCAAGGCACUCUGAUAUUCAGAGACAGCAGUCUGAAACACCCAGUAAAUAAUCCUUCCUGGAAUUUGGAUGAAUUGGUGAGUGAUGUAACAUCUUAUGGUCUGUUCAUUUGAAACAGUUUGCAUGAUUCAAAUCAAUGAACAAAAGAGUGAACAUGAAUAGUCUUUGCAGGACAGCGGAGUUGCCUUCUUUCCAAAUGAAACUGAAAUGUGGUGUUUACAGAAGCAUGGUCAUUCAGCCUGUGGUUUGGUUGAUGCAGACUCUGCUGGAAGGCAUCCAACAGAAUGUCAGGAUUAGCUGCUCCGGACCAUUAGUUUAUCUAGUUACCCAUUGACUGAAUGUCCGUUGAGAAUGGGAGUCCUAUUGAUACUCAUCCCUGAAAUCAUGUGUCUUUUUACCACUGAAUUCCCCUAAUAAGUAUUAACGUUUAGUUGUGGCCAGCUGGGUUAUUGAUCUUUUUGUGGCUUUUAUUAAAAAAAAUAUAUAUAUAUUUUUUCCUACCUGUUGCUUUUUAUAUCAUAUUUUGUUAAAUUUGCUGAAACACCACCUAUCCAAACAUGUUUGGUUGCAUGAAUGCAUUAAUUAAAUGUCCUAUUUUUCAUGAUUUAGUUAUUUGUAAACGGUGCAUAAAAUUGCAGGAACACAAGUGCAACAGGGAAUAUUAAUAAAAAUCUUUUCUUGCAAGAAGUUUCUUUUGAUAGUGUUUUUGCUUUUCUUCAUGCAUAGCUUUUGUUCAUAUUUUGCAUACAUAUAU